rnacentral:rRNA from 1 species
UACAGAGGGUGCAAGCGUUGUUCGGAAUUAUUGGGCGUAAAGCGCGUGUAGGCGGCUUGGCAAGUCGGGUGUGAAAUCCCUCAGCUUAACUGAGGAAGUGCGCCCGAAACUGCCGAGCUUGAGUACCGGAGAGGGUGGCGGAAUUCCCCAAGUAGAGGUGAAAUUCGUAGAUAUGGGGAGGAACACCGGUGGCGAAGGCGGCCAUCUGGACGGCUAUUGACGCUGAGACGCGAAAGCAUGGGGAGCAAACAGG